rnacentral:rRNA from 1 species
UACGGGGGGGGCAAGCGUUGUUCGGAAUUACUGGGCGUAAAGGGCUCGUAGGCGGCCAACUAAGUCAGACGUGAAAUCCCCAAGCUUAACUUGGGAACUGCAUCCGAUACUGGAUGGCUUGAAUCCGGGAGAGGGAUGCAGAAUUCCAGGUGUAGCGGUGAAAUGCGUAGAUAUCUGGAGGAAUACCGGUGGCGAAGGCGGCAUCCUGGACCGGCAUUGACGCUGAGGAGCGAAAGCUAGGGGAGCAAACGGG